CCUACGGGAGGCAGCAGUGGGGAAUAUUGGGCAAUGGGCGCAAGCCUGACCCAGCAACGCCGCGUGAAGGAAGAAGGCUUUCGGGUUGUAAACUUCUUUUCUCAGGGACGAAGCAAGUGACGGUACCUGAUGAAUAAGCCACGGCUAACUACGUGCCAGCAGCCGCGGUAAUACGUAGGUCGCAAGCGUUAUCCGGAUUUACUGGGUGUAAAGGGCGUGUAGGCGGUGACGCAAGUCAGAUGUGAAAACCACGGGCUCAACCUGUGGCCUGCAUUUGAAACUGUGUUUCUUGAGUACUGGAGAGGCAGACGGAAUUCCUAGUGUAGCGGUGAAAUGCGUAGAUAUUAGGAGGAACACCAGUGGCGAAGGCGGUCUGCUGGACAGCAACUGACGCUGAGGCGCGAAAGCGUGGGGAGCAAACAGGAUUAGAUACCCUUGUAGUC
rnacentral:rRNA from 1 species